rnacentral:rRNA from 1 species
AUUGAACGCUGGCGGCAUGCCUUACACAUGCAAGUCGAACGGUAACAGGUCUUCGGAUGCUGACGAGUGGCGAACGGGUGCGUAAUACAUCGGAACGUGCCCGAUCGUGGGGGAUAACGAGGCGAAAGCUUUGCUAAUACCGCAUACGAUCUACGGAUGAAAGCGGGGGAUCUUCGGACCUCGCGCGGACGGAGCGGCCGAUGGCAGAUUAGGUAGUUGGUGGGAUAAAAGCUUACCAAGCCGACGAUCUGUAGCUGGUCUGAGAGGAUGAUCAGCCACACUGGGACUGAGACACGGCCCAGACUCCUACGGGAGGCAGCAGUGGGGAAUUUUGGACAAUGGGCGAAAGCCUGAUCCAGCCAUGCCGCGUGCAGGAUGAAGGCCUUUGGGUUGUAAACUGCUUUUGUACGGAACGAAAAGCCUCUUUCUAAUAAAGAGGGGUCAUGACGGUACCGUAAGAAUAAACACCGGCUAACUACGUG